GAUGAAGAACGCAGCGAAAUGCGAUAAGUAGUGUGAAUUGCAAAUUCAGUGAAUCAUCGAGUCUUUGAACGCACAUUGCGCCCCCUGGUAUUCCGGGGGGCAUGCCUGUCCGAGCGUCAUUACUGCCCUCAAGCCCGGCUUGUGUGUUGGGCCCCGUCCUCCGAUCCCGGGGGACGGGCCCGAAAGGCAGCGGCGGCACCGCGUCCGGUCCUCGAGCGUAUGGGGCUUUGUCACCCGCUCUGUAGGCCCGGCCGGCGCUUGCCGAUCAACCCCAAUUUUUAUAGGUUGACCUCGGAUCAGGUAGGGAUACCCGCUGAACUUAAGCAUAUCAAUAAGCGGAGGA
rnacentral:misc_RNA from 1 species